CGCGCCGGGGCCGGGCCGGGGUCCGGCCGGAGCCUCCGCUGCCUCCAGCGCCGCGCCGCCCCCGGGGCUGCGGCUCUGCCCGCGCCGCCGCUCCCGCGCCAUGGGCAGCCGGGGAAGCGGAGCCGAGCGAGGAGCGGAGGGUGGCCGUGCCCGACACUUUGCCAUGUAAACCUCCCCGGCCUCGCACACCGCAGCACAGACAGAUGUCGGCACAGCCCCGGACCUGCAGAACGGUGAGUGAGGGGCACCGG
rnacentral:lncRNA from 1 species